rnacentral:rRNA from 1 species
UUGAANUGGGGGCACCCUGAUCCAGCAAUGCCGCGUGUGUGAAGAAGGCCUUCGGGUUGUAAAGCACUUUUAUCCGGAACGAAACGCGCAGGGUGAAUAGCCUUGCGAACUGACGGUACCGGAGGAAUAAGCACCGGCUAACUUCGUGCCAGCAGCCGCGGUAAUACGAAGGGUGCAAGCGUUACUCGGAAUUACUGGGCGUAAAGGGUGCGUAGGUGGUUUUUUAAGUCCGUUGUGAAAUCCCUGGGCUCAACCUGGGAAUGGCAGUGGAUACUGGAAAGCUAGAGUGCGGUAGAGGGUAGUGGAAUUCCCGGUGUAGCAGUGAAAUGCGUAGAGAUCGGGAGGAACACCAGUGGCGAAGGCGGCUACCUGGACCAGCACUGACACUGAGGCACGAAAGCGUGGGGAGCAAACAGGAUUAGAUACCCUGGUAGUCCACGCCCUAAACGAUGCGAACUGGACGUUGGGUGCAACUUGGCACUCAGUGUCGAAGCUAACACGUUAAGUUCGCCGCCUGGGGAGUACGGUCGCAAGACUGAAACUCAAAAAAAUUGACGGA